GCGAGGUAAUGAUAAAAUUCGUGCCUGUCAAUCCACUGAAAUUAAGAUUGUGAUGUGUAUAUAUGAAUCCCGACAGGUUCUGAUCGU